GAGUUUGAUCGUGGCUCAGAGCAACGCUGGCGGCAGGCCUAACACAUGCAAGUCGAGCGGCCGUAGCAAUACGGCAGCGGCAGACGGGAGAGUAACACGUGGGAACGCGCCCUUCGGUUCGGAAUAACUCCAGGGAAACUUGAGCUAAUACCGGAUACGCCCUUACGGGGAAAGAUUUAUUGCCGAAGGAACGGCCCGCGUCCGAUUAGCUAGUUGGUGAGGUAAUGGCUCACCAAGGCGACGAUCGGUAGCUGGUCUGAGAGGAUGACCAGCCUCACUGGGACUGAGACACGGCCCAGACUCCUACGGGAGGCAGCAGUGGGGAAUAUUGGACAAUGGGCGCAAGCCUGAUCCAGCCAUGCCGCGUGGAUGAUGAAGGCCCUAGGGUUGUAAAGUCCUUUUAACGGGGAAGAUAAUGACGGUACCCGUAGAAUAAGCCCCGGCUAACUUCGUGCCAGCCGCCGCAGU
rnacentral:rRNA from 1 species